rnacentral:rRNA from 1 species
UACGAAGGGGGCUAGCGUUACUCGGAAUCACUGGGCGUAAAGCGCACGUAGGCGGAUUGUUAAGUCAGGGGUGAAAUCCUGGAGCUCAACUCCAGAACUGCCUUUGAUACUGGCGAUCUUGAGUCCGGGAGAGGUGAGUGGAACUGCGAGUGUAGAGGUGAAAUUCGUAGAUAUUCGCAAGAACACCAGUGGCGAAGGCGGCUCACUGGCCCGGUACUGACGCUGAGGUGCGAAAGCGUGGGGAGCAAACAGG